rnacentral:rRNA from 1 species
GCCUAACACAUGCAAGCCGAGCGGUAUUUGUUCUUCGGGACAGAGAGAGCGGCGUACGGGUGCGGAACACGUGUGCAACCUGCCUUUAUCAGGGGGAUAGCCUUUCGAAAGGAAGAUUAAUACCCCAUAAUAUAUUGAUUGGCAUCAAUUAAUAUUGAAAACUCCGGUGGAUAGAGAUGGGCACGCGCAAGAUUAGAUAGUUGGUGAGGUAACGGCUCACCAAGUCAGUGAUCUUUAGGGGGCCUGAGAGGGUGAUCCCCCACACUGGUACUGAGACACGGACCAGACUCCUACGGGAGGCAGCAGUGAGGAAUAUUGGACAAUGGGUGAGAGCCUGAUCCAGCCAUCCCGCGUGAAGGACGACGGUUCUAUGGAUUGUAAACUUCUUUUAUACUGGGAUAAACCUACCCUCGUGAGGGUAGCUGAAGGUACAGUAUGAAUAAGCACCGGCUAACUCCGUGCCAGCAGCCGCGGUAAUACGGAGGGUGCAAGCGUUAUCCGGAUUUAUUGGGUUUAAAGGGUCCGUAGGCGGAUCUGUAAGUCAGUGGUGAAAUCUCAUAGCUUAACUAUGAAACUGCCAUUGAUACUGCAGGUCUUGAGUAAAGUAGAAGUGGCUGGAAUAAGUAGUGUAGCGGUGAAAUGCAUAGAUAUUACUUAGAACACCAAUUGCGAAGGCAGGUCACUAUGUUUUAACUGACGCUGAUGGACGAAAGCGUGGGGAGCGAACAGGAUUAGAUACCCUGGUAGUCCACGCCGUAAACGAUGCUAACUCGUUUUUGGGUUUUCGGAUUCAGAGACUAAGCGAAAGUGAUAAGUUAGCCACCUGGGGAGUACGUUCGCAAGAAUGAAACUCAAAGGAAUUGACGGGGGCCCGCACAAGCGGUGGAUUAUGUGGUUUAAUUCGAUGAUACGCGAGGAACCUUACCAAGGCUUAAAUGGGAAUUGACAGGUUUAGAAAUAGACUUUUCUUCGGACAAUUUUCAAGGUGCUGCAUGGUUGUCGUCAGCUCGUGCCGUGAGGUGUUAGGUUAAGUCCUGCAACGAGCGCAACCCCUGUCACUAGUUGCCAUCAUUCAGUUGGGGACUCUAGUGAGACUGCCUACGCAAGUAGAGAGGAAGGUGGGGAUGACGUCAAAUCAUCACGGCCCUUACGCCUUGGGCCACACACGUAAUACAAUGGCCAGUACAGAGGGCAGCUACCAGGCGACUGGAUGCGAAUCUCGAAAGCUGGUCUCAGUUCGGAUUGGAGUCUGCAACUCGACUCUAUGAAGCUGGAAUCGCUAGUAAUCGCGCAUCAGCCAUGGCGCGGUGAAUACGUUCCCGGGCCUUGUACACACCGCCCGUCAAGCCAUGGAAGUCUGGGGUACCUGAAGUCGGUGACC